rnacentral:rRNA from 1 species
UACGUAGGGUGCAGGCGUUAAUCGGAAUUACUGGGCGUAAAGCGUGCGCAGGCGGUUUGCUAAGACAGGUGUGAAAUCCCCGGGCUUAACCUGGGAACUGCGUUUGAAACUACAAGGCUAGAGUGUGGCAGAGGGGGGUGGAAUUCCACGUGUAGCAGUGAAGUGCGUAGAGAUGUGGAGGAACACCGAUGGCGAAGGCAGCCCCCUGGGUUAACACUGACGCUCAGGCACGAAAGCGUGGGGAGCAAACAGG